rnacentral:rRNA from 1 species
AACGUAGGACGCGAGCGUUAUCCGGAUUUACUGGGCGUAAAGCGCGGGCAGGCGGUGGUCCAAGUCGGACGUGAAAGCUCCCGGCUCAACUGGGAGAGGCCGUUCGAAACUGGGCCGCUGGAGGGCAGUAGAGGGGCGUGGAAUUCCGGGUGGAGUGGUGAAAUGCGUAGAGAUCCGGAGGAACACCAGAGGCGAAGGCGGCGCCCUGGGCUGCACCUGACGCUGAGCCGCGAAAGCUAGGGGAGCGAACGGGAUUAGAAACCCCCGUAGUCC